rnacentral:rRNA from 1 species
AGCAGCAGCCGCGGGAAAACGGAGGGUGCAAGCGUUAUCCGGAUUUAUUGGGUUUAAAGGGUCCGUAGGCGGAUCUGUAGUCAGUGGUGAAAUCUCACAGCUUAACUGUGAAACUGCCAUUGAUACUGCAGGUCUUGAGUAAAUUUGAAGUGGCUGGAAUAAGUAGUGUAGCGGUGAAAUGCAUAGAUAUUACUUAGAACACCAAUUGCGAAGGCAGGUCACUAAGAUUUAACUGACGCUGAUGGACGAAAGCGUGGGGAGCGAACAGGAUUAGAUACCCCUGUAGUCCCUGUCUCUUAUACA